GCCUAGUUAGCUCACCUAGCGAGUUAACGGAAACACCCCUGCAGCCUGUGCGCGUGCCUCAGCCCCGUGAGUCCACCGACGCAGCCCGGCCAUUGCUUUCUGCGGUCAGGACGAUUUCCGGCCACUGAUUAUGACGUCAGCGAUUUUUGUGCUGGGAAUCGAGCGACAGUAGAGAACCUAAAGCCUUCCCUUCAUCCAGAGCAAGUGCUCUACCUUGUGCUGACAUUUUGACCUCAACCAGAUGCAACCAAAGCCCUCAGUUGAAAAAAACGUCUUUGCUUCUGAAAUGCUUCCAGCUGGACAUUGUCAGAAGAGCCCUCCAUCGCACUCCCUACCCGUCAAGUAGCUCUCGGUCUCAGAAAGAUUGGCGACUUGAAAGAUUAGAAUGUUGACAUCAUUUUGUUUCAUAGACAUGUCGAACAUUAGGACCUUGCAUGAACCUGCGCAUAUGUACCUCCAUAAAUAAAGGUCGAUCAGUCAGGACUGUCUUCCCGAAUUCACAUGAAUCAUUGGCACAACACUGUGAUAUUGCUCAUCUGUAUAUCUAUGCAUAUUUGAAUGCAUUCAAUCACCAGGUAUCAUGUCUGUAAAGAUUUGUGAUCUUUUUAAAAAAGAAGUUGAGCUUUUCUAAGAUUAAAUAAACCAGUGCAACAGAC